AAGUCGAGCGAUCUUCUUCGGAAGAGAGCGGCGGGACGGGUGAGUAACGCGGUGGGUAACCUGCCCUGUACACACGGAUAACAUACCGAAGGUAUGCUAAUACGAGAUAAUAUGCUCUUAUCGCAUGGUAGAAGUAUCAAAGCUUUUGCGGUACAGGAUGGACCCGCGUCUGAUUAGCUGGUUGGUAAGGUAACGGCUUACCAAGGCGACGAUCAGUAGCCGACCUGAGAGGGUGAUCGGCCACAUUGGAACUGAGACACGGUCCAAACUCCUACGGGAGGCAGCAGUGGGGAAUAUUGCACAAUGGGCGAAAGCCUGAUGCAGCAACGCCGCGUGAGCGAUGAAGGCCUUCGGGUCGUAAAGCUCUGUCCUCAAGGAAGAUAAUGACGGUACUUGAGGAGGAAGCCCCGGCUAACUACGUG
rnacentral:rRNA from 1 species